UACGUAGGGCGCAAGCGUUGUCCGGAAUUAUUGGGCGUAAAGAGCUCGUAGGCGGCCUGUCGCGUCUGCUGUGAAAUCCCGGGGCUCAACCCGGGCCUGCAGUGGAUACGGGCUGGCUGGAGGCAGGCAGGGGAGAACGGGAAUUCCUGGUGUAGCGGUGAAAUGACGCAGAUAUCAGGAGGAACACCGGUGGCGAAGGCGGUUCUCUGGGCCGUAACUGACGCUGAGGAGCGAAAAGCGUGGGGGAGCGAAACAGGGA
rnacentral:rRNA from 1 species